CAUAAGUGAAAUUCAAUGUCACCUCUUGUCUCCAGGGCCCAGCAGUCCUUGGUGGUGACUGGCAGCCUGGAGACGUCAGGCAGCAUCAGGACCCACUGGCUGCUGUGUUGCUGUGACCUCUGGAACGAGCAAACAGCUCCCACCUUCCUCCUCCAUCCCAGAGCACCCUGCAGGAGCCGCUGUUCUCUUGUACAGCUCUGUAAGAUGUGAGCAAGCAGAGGAGCAGCACCUUGAAGGAACAUCCAGACACAGCCUUCCUGCUUCCUGACCUCAGCACAGGGAUGCUGAUCUCUGCAAUGCCCUGUCCUUGUCCCCAGGCUCCUCCAGCCCCUUCUUCCAGCCCAGCCCCUCUCACUUGCAGCUCAGCAGUGGUGAGUUAAAAGAAAACUGUGGCAAAUUAAUCUGAAAAGGGAGAGCAGCCUUUGCAGUAGCUGAGGAAUACCUCUCUUAUCUGCACUGUCUGAGGCUGCAGAGCCACUGGGAAUUCAGAUUGGUCUUCACGUCUGAUGCGCUGCUGGGAAAUGCAUUCUGGAUGUUGAGUUUAAACAUGUCUCCAGAGGCAGCACUUGGCUGGCUGGGUGCCUGCUGCACUGCUUCCCAGCUACAUCACUUGGGUCUGGAUUUAAUACCGAGUACAUUCUACUGGUUCCUUUUUAUAGCAGCUGGCAAUAAACACAUCAUGUUACGGCUUUAUUUUGGCUACAGAUUAAUUGUAGAGAAUGUAAUUGCUUCCCCAUUUGAAGCCAGGGGGAAGCCCACAGAGUAGGUCAUCAGCUUCUUGGAGCAUCACCUGGGAGAUGGUCUUUAACAUUUGUUUGUUUUUCUAUAAGUAGGUGAGGAUUAAAAAUCAAAAGCAUCCUGCAACAACUACUCCUCUACCUAGGAAAGCACCAAGUCACUCCUGGUUCUACCGCUGUGAUGAGCAAAGGAAACCUUGAGGGAUAGGUUCGGACUUGUUACACUUAGCACUGCUCCCUUCCUCUUUUAGCUAGUAGGCAAUUAUCAGAUCCGAUCAACAGAAACAGACCUUUCCCAGAGCACAGCUCUUGUGCAGUGUUCUGCAGGUUUGGCCAACUGCACGCCUUCGGUGCUUCAGAUCCAUCUCAACGGUGUUCAGUGUGGCACUCGUGAAUCUUCACUGGGCCCUUCACUGUCCAGGAGGGGACAAUGGGCUGAGCUCUUCCAUCGAGCCUGCAGUCCCCAUUACACCGCUUUCACUCCCAGCAGCUAUUCAGUUCCUGAGUUCUAUAGUUCCUGCAUUUACUGCCUCCCAUGCAUGGGCUGUUCUCCCUCUCUGAUGCAUAGAAAUGUUGAUCUAAACUAUGAGUUGGCAGCUUGGAAGCUUUUCUUCCAGGUACAAUCUCUGCUUCCUAAGCAGGUUUUUGAGGAUGUGUCUAUUGCAGCUUUCAGCACAUCAGUGACAAUCACAGCCAACCUCAUGGUCACUGAGAACUUCAGUUUGCUGCUUGGCCUCUUUGCCUGGAAACAACAGGAUGUUUGUUUGAGAAUGGAGCAAACAAGAUGUGACACUGUGGAGGCUUUUCAGCUUAAAGGGACCACUUCCAUCCCGGAACGCCGGUCUCAUCCCAGCUCUGCAGGCAGCCACGGCACGUGGGCCUUUUUGGAAAUGCACCUGAAGACCGUUCUGGGAUCCUUCCAUCCCACACUUCCUGGCAGGCUGCUCCAGAGCCUUCCUCCUGAGGUUGUGAGUGCUGACUUCUAAACGCUGGGAUGUUCCCACUCGUCUCCACAGCAGUACCCCUCACACUCAGAAAGGUGGUGCUCUUGCAUAUUUUUACUCUUUUUUCUUCCUUCCUUUGUAAGGCUAAAUCAGUAAAGCUCCUCAAGCCUAAUGAAACAGCAGGUUUUUACUCUUUGCAGUACUCUUAAGAAGUGAUAAAUAUCGCCUGGAUUUAAACGUUACUGCCAGUCACGUUUGUUGUUGCAGUGAUCUCAAGCUCGUGUUGUCUCUGACAGCUGAAGGACAGCAGAGCUCCAGGAACUGAAGCCUUUCAGUCAAGUGAACUCUAAAGUAAGAAAACAAUCGUAUUGG
rnacentral:lncRNA from 1 species